AAAAGAGGAGAUAGGUAAUGCUUUGAUUCCAAACAUUAUCCCACCAUGGUGAGGUGGUGAACAACCAUGGUGAAGUCCAGAACGAGCGUCUGUCAGUCACUGAACCCAGUGUGUUUCCACAGAGAUGCCGACGUCACGGUAACCAACGAGCUGAUGUUCCAGAAUAUUAAUGAACCCAGACGAACUUGGCAUGGUGAAACCUGCUGUCAAUUACCGUACAGAGGCAGAGCACUGCAAGCCAGGAAGACACAGUUUGAAGUGGUGGAUGAGGAGGCCUUGAUCCAUCUGAAUACAGACGAUGACAAGGUUGAAUGAAAUAGCCUGUCUCAACAGUGACUCCUCUGAUUCAGGUCUCACCAGGCUGUUCCCAGUCCUACUCAGGAAAAUGUCUGUCAGGCUUAACGUUGUGUGGGGCUGUAAUUGGAUGACCUUUAUGUUGAUACUGGAGGAUAUUGCUCUGGGUAUAAAUAGCAGGGGUUGCUGGGAUAUUUUUUCAGUUUAGGGUUUGGUGCCAAGCUACAGUAGGUGCCAAGCUCUCUGCUCCUGUCAUUUCUCUUUAUAUUGAAUUUGUCCCUACAAUUGUGUAGCUUGCUCUAAGUAAACAACAAGUCUCUAUCUGAAGCCACAGUGUCCAUGGAUAAUCAUUCUUUACCCCAGCCUUAGAAUAGCUUCAGUCCCCCUAUUCAAUCAAUGGAUAUUUUCAGAGAGGUCUUAGCUUGGUCACUGUUCAACUGACCAACAGUUGAACAGAAUUAGAUUAGGACACGAGAAAGAGGCGAUUGGAUGAAGAGCUGGUGAUGAGUUGAGAGAAAAAAAAACACCCGGUACACUACAGUACAGCAACACAUACAGAAUUAAAUUGAUUUUCGGCUUGUGCAAAAAUGGCAGCCCUCUCAGUGACACAGGGAGCCUAGAAGGAUGUACGAAAACAUCAGGCCAAACACAAUUCCACCCUUGAAUGAACUGACUGAGACGGAUACAAGGUGGAGGGAAACAUGGAAAGGGAAGAGAGUCUUGGAAACAUCCCAGGUGGACACAUGCGCUGUCAGAAGCAUGAAGCAGAGCCAGGCCUCAGUGAGAGGUAAGAUCACAGUAUGCACAGCAUGAGUCAUUGGCUCCGUCCCAAAUGGCACCCUAUUCCCUUUAUAAUCCCCUACUUUGUGCACUAUGUAGGGAAUAGGGUGCCAUUUGUGCACUUUGUAGGGAAUAGGGUGCCAUUUGUGAGGCAACCAUUCAUCGGUAGAGCCUGCUGCAUGUACAG
rnacentral:lncRNA from 13 species